rnacentral:rRNA from 1 species
CUACGGGAGGCAGCAGUGGGGAAUUUUGGACAAUGGGCGCAAGCCUGAUCCAGCCAUUCCGCGUGCAGGAUGAAGGCCUUCGGGUUGUAAACUGCUUUUGUACGGAACGAAAAGGCUCUGGUUAAUACCUGGAGUUUAUGACGGUACCGUAAGAAUAAGCACCGGCUAACUACGUGCCAGCAGCCACGGUAAUACGUAGGGUGCAAGCGUUAAUCGGAAUUACUGGGCGUAAAGCGUGCGCAGGCGGUUUUGUAAGACAGAGGUGAAAUCCCCGGGCUCAACCUGGGAACUGCCUUUGUGACUGCAAAGCUGGAGUACGGCAGAGGGGGAUGGAAUUCCGCGUGUAGCAGUGAAAUGCGUAGAUAUGCGGAGGAACACCGAUGGCGAAGGCAAUCCCCUGGGCCUGUACUGACGCUCAUGCACGAAAGCGUGGGGAGCAAACAGGAUUAGAUACCCUGGUAGUCC